rnacentral:rRNA from 1 species
GACGAACGCUGGCGGCGUGCCUAAUACAUGCAAGUCGAGCGGACGGAUGGGGGCUUGCUCCCAGACCGUCAGCGGCGGACGGGUGAGUAACACGUGGGCAACCUGCCUGUAAGACUGGGAUAACUCCGGGAAACCGGGGCUAAUACCGGAUAACUCUUUCCCUCACAUGAGGGAAAGCUGAAAGAUGGCAUCUCGCUAUCACUUACAGAUGGGCCCGCGGCGCAUUAGCUAGUUGGUGAGGUAACGGCUCACCAAGGCGACGAUGCGUAGCCGACCUGAGAGGUUGAUCGGCCACACUGGGACUGAGACACGGCCCAGACUCCUACGGGAGGCAGCAGUAGGGAAUCUUCCGCAAUGGACGAAAGUCUGACGGAGCAACGCCGCGUGAGUGAUGAAGGUGUUCGGAUCGUAAAACUCUGUUGUCAGGGAAGAACAAGUACCGGAGUAACUGCCGGUACCUUGACGGUACCUGAACAGAAAGCCACGGCUAACUACGUG